UUUGAAAUCUCCGGUGCUUGCACCGGCGAGUUGUAGUUGCGAGAAGCACUUUCUCGGCGGAUCGGCGGCGCCUAAGUUGCUUGGAACAGCAUGUCGCAGAGGGUGACAACCCCGUCUGUGGCGCGGCCGGCCGCUCACGAUGUGCUUUCGAAGAGUCGGGUUGUUUGGGAAUGCAGCCCAAAAUGGGUGGUAAACUCCAUCUAAAGCUAAAUACUGGCGUGAGACCGAUAGCGAACAAGUACCGUGAGGGAAAGAUGAAAAGAACUUUGAAAAGAGAGUUAAAAAGUACGUGAAACCGUCGAAAGGGAAACGAAUGGACUCAGCAAUGCGCCGUUUGAGAUUCAGCCGGUGGGCGGGAUCGGCGCGGGGUUUGCGGAUCUGAAUGGACCGCGGCUCCGGGCUCGUUUUCCCCCGCCGUCGCACUUCUCUUGGGCGCACGUCAACGUCGGUUGGAACUGGGUUUGAAAGGCGCCGGGAAGGUAGGUCUGGUCCUUCGGGUCCGGACUGUUACAGCCCGGUGUUCUCAUGGCUCGGGUCCGACCGAGGAGUCGCAGCGCAUGCCUCUUGUGGCUAGGGUCCCGUCCUUCCGGCCGGUUGUCGAAUGCGGUGGACUGCUUGCAGUGCUCCGUGACUGCUGCCGGUCGUUGGGGUGGUGAUCUCGUACCAUG
rnacentral:rRNA from 1 species